rnacentral:tRNA from 1 species
GACUCCAUAGCUCAAUUCAUUAGAGCAUGGUGCUCAUCAUGCCAAGGUUGAAGGUUCGAUCCCUGUAUGGGACA